CAGCAGCCGCGGUAAUGCGUAGGUGGCAAGCGUUGUCCGGAAUUAUUGGGCGUAAAGGGCUCGCAGGCGGUUUCUUAAGUCUGAUGUGAAAGCCCCCGGCUCAACCGGGGAGGGUCAUUGGAAACUGGGAAACUUGAGUGCAGAAGAGGAGAGUGGAAUUCCACGCGUAGCGGUGAAAUGCGUAGAGAUGUGGAGGAACACCAGUGGCGAAGGCGACUCUCUGGUCUGUAACUGACGCUGAGGAGCGAAAGCGUGGGGAGCGAACAGGAUUAGAUACCCCCGUAGUCCCUGUCUCUUAUAC
rnacentral:rRNA from 1 species